AUUGAACGCUGGCGGCAUGCCUUACACAUGCAAGUCGAACGGUAACAGGUUAAGCUGACGAGUGGCGAACGGGUGAGUAAUGUAUCGGAACGUGCCCAGUCGUGGGGGAUAACUGCUCGAAAGAGCAGCUAAUACCGCAUACGACCUGAGGGUGAAAGCGGGGGAUCGCAAGACCUCGCGCGAUUGGAGCGGCCGAUAUCAGAUUAGGUAGUUGGUGAGGUAAAGGCUCACCAAGCCGACGAUCUGUAGCUGGUCUGAGAGGACGACCAGCCACACUGGGACUGAGACACGGCCCAGACUCCUACGGGAGGCAGCAGUGGGGAAUUUUGGACAAUGGGCGCAAGCCUGAUCCAGCCAUGCCGCGUGCGGGAAGAAGGCCUUCGGGUUGUAAACCGCUUUUGUCAGGGAAGAAAAGGUUCUGGCUAAUACCUGGGACUCAUGACGGUACCUGAAGAAUAAGCACCGGCUACUACGUG
rnacentral:rRNA from 1 species